AGGGAGGUGAUGACAAUUUCCCCAAAUGAUCGAAUCUGAUUAUACUGAGCGAUUUUAAUUUCCUUUUCAACAGAAGGAAAUCAAGCCAAUGUUCUGAUCCUU
rnacentral:snoRNA from 1 species